GAUGAAGAACGUAGCGAAAUGCGAUAAGUAAUGUGAAUUGCAGAAUUCAGUGAAUCAUCGAAUCUUUGAACGCACGUUGCGCCCGCCAGCACUCUGGCGGGCAUGCCUGUUCGAGCGUCAUUUCAACCAUCAAGCCCCCAGGGGCUUGUGCUGGGGCCCUGCGGCUGCCCGCAGGCCCUGAAAACCAGUGGCGGGCUCGCUAGUCACACCGAGCGCAGUAGCACAUCUCGCUCAGGGCGUGCGGCGGGCUCCUGCCGUGAAACCCCCCACUGUAACCCCAAAGGUUGACCUCGGAUCAGGUAGGAAUACCCGCUGAACUUAAGCAUAUCAAUAAGCGGAGGA
rnacentral:misc_RNA from 1 species